CCUACGGGAGGCAGCAGUGGGGAAUAUUGGGCAAUGGGCGCAAGCCUGACCCAGCAACGCCGCGUGAAGGAUGGAGGUUUUCGGAUUGUAAACUUCUGUCGUGAGGGACGAAGAAUGACGGUACCUCGUAAGAAAGCCCCGGCUAACUACGGGCCAGCAGCCGCGGCAAUACGGAGGGGGAAAGCGUUGUCCGGAAUGACUGGGCGUAAAGGGAGUGUAGGCGGGUUAUCAAGUUAGAUGUGAAAUCCCGCGGCUUAGCCGGGGAAGUGCAAUUAAAACUGGUGAGCGGGAGUGCGGGAGAGGUGGGUGGAAUUUCUGGUGUAGCGGUGGAAUGCGUAGAUAUUAGGAGGAACACCAGAGGCGAAGGCGACUCACUAGACUGUAACUGACGCUGAGGCUCGAAAGCGUGGGGAGCAAACAGGAUUAGAUACCCGAGUAGUC
rnacentral:rRNA from 1 species